UACGGAGGAUCCAAGCGUUAUCCGGAAUCAUUGGGUUUAAAGGGUCCGCAGGCUGUUAGAUAAGUCAGAGGUGAAAGUUUGCAGCUCAACUGUAAAAUUGCCUUUGAUACUGUUUAACUUGAGUUAUUAUGAAGUGGUUAGAAUAUGUAGUGUAGCGGUGAAAUGCAUAGAUAUUACAUAGAAUACCGAUUGCGAAGGCAGAUCACUAAUAAUAUACUGACGCUGAGGGACGAAAGCGUGGGGAGCGAACAGG
rnacentral:rRNA from 1 species